rnacentral:rRNA from 1 species
AUGCAAGUCGAACGGUAACAGGAUGUGCUUGCACAUCGCUGACGAGUGGCGGACGGGUGAGUAAUGCUUGGGAACUUGCCUUUGCGAGGGGGAUAACAGCUGGAAACGACUGCUAAUACCGCAUAAUGUCUUCGGACCAAACGGGGCUUCGGCUCCGGCGCAAAGAGAGGCCCAAGUGAGAUUAGCUAGUUGGUAAGGUAACGGCUUACCAAGGCGACGAUCUCUAGCUGUUCUGAGAGGAAGAUCAGCCACACUGGGACUGAGACACGGCCCAGACUCCUACGGGAGGCAGCAGUGGGGAAUAUUGCACAAUGGGGGAAACCCUGAUGCAGCCAUGCCGCGUGUGUGAAGAAGGCCUUCGGGUUGUAAAGCACUUUCAGUUGUGAGGAAAAGUUAGUAGUUAAUACCUGCUAGCCGUGACGUUAACAACAGAAGAAGCACCGGCUAACUCCGUGCCAGCAGCCGCGGUAAUACGGAGGGUGCGAGCGUUAAUCGGAAUUACUGGGCGUAAAGCGCACGCAGGCGGUUUGUUAAGCUAGAUGUGAAAGCCCCGGGCUCAACCUGGGGUGGUCAUUUAGAACUGGCAGACUAGAGUCUUGGAGAGGGGAGUGGAAUUCCAGGUGUAGCGGUGAAAUGCGUAGAUAUCUGGAGGAACAUCAGUGGCGAAGGCGACUCCCUGGCCAAAGACUGACGCUCAUGUGCGAAAGUGUGGGUAGCGAACAGGAUUAGAUACCCUGGUAGUCCACACCGUAAACGCUGUCUACUAGCUGUGUGUGUCUUUAAGACGUGCGUAGCGAAGCUAACGCGCUAAGUAGACCGCCUGGGGAGUACGGCCGCAAGGUUAAACUCAAAUGAAUUGACGGGGGCCCGCACAAGCGGUGGAGCAUGUGGUUUAAUUCGAUGCAACGCGAAGAUCUUACCUACACUUGACAUGCUGAGAGUUACUAGAGAUAGUUUCGUGCCUUCGGGACUCAGACACAGGUGCUGCAUGCUGUCGUCAGCUCGUGUCGUGAGAUGUGGGUAAGUCCCGCACGAGCGCACCCUUGUCUUAGUGCCAGCUUAGUUGGGCACUCUAAGGAGACUGCCGGUGACAACCGGAAG